UGAAAAAGCUUAAAGAAGAAGGAAGAGUUGCAACGAAUGACAAGGGUCUCUAAAGCUGAUGUUGGCAGAAGUGCAGCUGAAGUGAACAUGUACCCAUGUAGAGUUGAGAAUUCAGCUGGGUUCCACGAAACAUUUAUAUUUGCAGAGAGUUGAACUGGAUUUUAGCUACCCAAUUCCCAUUUUGCCUUGUCUCUUUGAAAAUUUUCUAGGGCAUGUCAUGGAGGACAUUGCUAUUUGUCUCCAGAUGAAAUUAGCGUGGACACUAGAAGUGAAUGUGGAGCUGCUCUACUAUCCUCUCGGAGGUAUGAUGCAAAAGUUAUCACCACCACACUGUCAUGCACCCAUUUAUACAGCAGAACAGAAGAGAAAACUCAAGAAUGCCUGAUAUUGUGAAAAGUGUCAGUUUAGCUUAGCUAGCUACAGUGAUGUGUGUUAGUGGAUUAAAGCAACCUACUAGAAUUCAGCACAAAACCUCUGCUAAAUUAUCAGUAUAAUAUUGGGAUGUACUGCAUUGAAUAAAAUAUGGUGGGUGUGCUGCA
rnacentral:lncRNA from 1 species